GGGGAUGCAAAUGCAUCGACAGGAUAGUUCUUUAAAAACUGCAAGCCGACAAUGAUCUAAGUCGUAAAACAGGUCAAAACUAUAAAUGAUAGAGGAAACUCUUCAUUCGCUCAGCCUCGUUUUGCUUUUGCUUAACUAGUUGAGCUGUCCUUAAUGUCUUUUCUCGAUGAGACAUUUUGGGCAUAAACUUAGUCGAGAAAUCUAAAGAGAAACUGGUUAGAGCUCUUUUGAAUUUAUAACCUUGACCUUACUUAUGGAUGUUUGUUUUCAAAGAGUAAGGCGAUCAAAAAAAUAACAAAAUAAGCUUGUAGAAGUUUUUAAAAUCACUUUCUUGGACUCGGGAUCACUUCCCGACAUCUCCACAA
rnacentral:tmRNA from 2 species